rnacentral:pre_miRNA from 1 species
UUAAUACUCCCUCCGUCCAACAAAAGAUGUCUCAAGUUUGUCAAAAUUUGGAUGUAUCUAGACAUAACUUAGUGUAUAGAUGCAUUUAAAUUUAGUUAAAGUUGAGACAUCUUUUGUUGGACGGAGGGAGUAGAUG